UUACGGCCACAUCACCUUGAAACAACAGUUCGUACAAUCACCAAAGUUAAACAAUGUCGAGCCUGGUUAGUACCUUGAUGGGUGGCCCACUGGGAAUACCAGUUGCUGUAAG